GUUACGUUGGUGAACAGGCUAUUAUUUCCCCUUUGAUGCGCACAGUCCGGUCUGCCAUUGGUCAGCUCUGCCAGAAAGGGGAGGGACUCGAGUCCAAGAAUCUUAAUAGAAAAACUCCAGACUGACAGGACGGAAGAAAGGGUGACAGCUCGAAAAAGACGGAGGACAAGGACGCUUUGACCCGGCAACUGUCCCCUCGGAAGAUUUUAACAUUUUGCAGUUCUGUACAUCCACACUUUACAGCCAGAUAAGUGUGUUUUUCUGGAUAAUUCUCUGGUGUUAUUGUGAACUUUAUCUGAAGACAACUGAACUCUCUCGACUGGGAAUGUUGUGUCCAGGUUGGCAUUGUCAGAGACACAACGGAGACUGAUUUUAACGCAGCAUGAUACCGGCGGUUGUCCAUUCUUGCAAACACUACGGUACAACCUACUACCAAGACAUAUCGGGCUGCCUGUACCGCGAAAGCGGAGAGUUUAUUCGUCCCGGACCGGCAUAACUUGCCUAACGCUGUUAACUUUUUACAUUUUCGUUGAUGAGGUGAAGCGACAUCAGAGGAAGAAAUACACUAAAAGUAUGUGGACACCUGCUCGUCGAACAUCUCAUUCCAAAAUCAUGGGCAUUAAUAUGGAGUUGGUCCCCCCCUUUGAUGCUAUAACAACUUCCACUCUUCUGGGAAGGCUUUCCACUAGAUGUUGGAACAUUGCUGCGAGGACUUGCUUCCAUUCAGCCACAAGCAUUAGUAAGGUCGGGCACUGAUGUUGGGCGAUCCCAUGGGGUUGAGGUCAGGGCUCUGUGCAGGCAAGUCAAGUUCUUCCACACCAAUCUCGACAAGCCAUUUCUGUAUGGACCUCGCUUUGUACACGGGGGCAUUGUCAUGCUAAAACAGGGAAGGCCCUUCCCCAAACUAUUGCCACAAUGUUAGAAGCACAGAAUCGUCUAGAAUGUCAUUGUAUGCUGUAGCGUUAAGCUGGAGCUAAGGGGAAUAGCCCGAACCAUGAAAAACAGCCCCAGACCAUUAUUCCUCCUCCACCAAACUUUACAGUUGGCACUAUGCAUUGGCAGGUAGCGUGAUUCAUCACUCCAGAGAACGCAUUUCCACUGCUCCAGAGUCCAAUGGCGGCGAGUUUUACACCACUCCAGCCCGACGCUUGGCAUUGCGCAUGGUAGGCUUAGGCUUGUGUGCAGCUGCUUGGUCAUGGAAACCCAUUUCAUGAAGCUCCCGACAAAUAGUUAUUAUGCUGACGUUGCCUCCAGAGGCAGUUUCGAACUCGGUAGUGAGUGUUGCAACCGAAGACAGAUGAUUUUUACGCUCUUCAGCACUCGGAGGUCCCAUUCAGUGAGAUUGUGUAGCCUACCACUUAGCAGUUGAGCCAUUGUUGCUCCUAGACGUUUCUACUUCACAAUAACAGCACUUACAGUUGACUAGGGCAAAAAUGUGACUAACUGACGUGUUGGAAAGGUGGCAUCCUAUGACGGUACCACUUUGAAAGAUACUGAGCUCUUCAGUACAGGCCAUUCUACUGUCAAUGUUUUCCUAUUGAGAUUGCAUGGCUGUGUGGUCAAUUUUAAACACCUGUCAGCAACGGGUGUGGCUGAAAUAGCUGACUGCACUAAUUUCAAGGGGUGUCUACAUACUUUUGUAGUGUAUAAGCUUUGACUUUAUUUAGGUUAGAGGGUGUCCUGUCUCCAUGGUUUACAAUGUUAAAGGCAAUGUUGAAUAUAUUGUCUUUCCCUUCAAUUCACCAGAAGAGGGCAGGCUAGCCUUGCAGAUCUCACAUCGCUUAGGAAGUGCCGUAUAAUUACUGCAUUAAAUACUGUAUUAUCAAAAACAAUCUAUUGUAUAGACAAGAUAGUCAAGUGACUGCUCUGACAAUGGAAAUACAUGUCCUCAAAGAUGGAAUGCAAGUUGGAGGCGAGAUCAGGUGGGACCGUUCCAACCUGAACUAAGUCGUGCAGGUUUUCCACGUGAAUCCACUUAUAUCAGUACAUUUGUAACAGCCUAAACAUUACGAAACUUGUAUCAGACUAAAUAAACUUCACGUAAUUCAUAUCUGUCUCAUAGACCUCCAUACAAAAAAAUUAUCACACGACCAUAUUUUGGGCAGAGUAAAUCCUCUCGCUUUGCCUCAUCUCUGAUAUUAUUCAGAAUACCAUAGGCCUGAUUCCACAUUGAACACUGCUUUUCUCCCCUCUUUCCUUUAUGACUCACCAUUGCAGGUUUGAAAAGACUGCAGAGACUUAAGCAGGGUGCGCUCCAGCUAUUCAAAUAGGGUACAGGUGAAAGUGUCUGUGUUAGUGUGUGUGCUUAGUAAACAUAAUAACAGUCAAAAUAUGUUUUUUCAUCUAUUAUUGAAUAUCAUUAAUAAAGGCUGUUGUGUAAUGAAUAA